GUUUGUAGCUCAGUGGAUAGAGCGUCUGUCUCCGGAACAGAAGGUCGAGGGUUCGAAUCCCUUCAAGCC
rnacentral:tRNA from 2 species